CCUACGGGAGGCAGCAGUAGGGAAUUUUGCGCAAUGGGCGAAAGCCUGACGCAGCAACGCCGCGUGAGUGAAGAAGUAUUUCGGUAUGUAAAGCUCUAUCAGCAGGGAAGAAGAUGACGGUACCUGAAUAAGAAGCCCCGGCUAACUACGUGCCAGCAGCCGCGGUAAUACGUAGGGGGCAAGCGUUAUCCGGAUUUACUGGGUGUAAAGGGAGCGCAGACGGCAGUGCAAGUCUGGAGUGAAAGCCCGGGGCCCAACCCCGGAACUGCACUGGAAACUGUGCGGCUAGAGUACUGGAGGGGCAGGCGGAAUUCCUAGUGUAGCGGUGAAAUGCGUAGAUAUUAGGAGGAACACCAGUGGCGAAGGCGGCCUGCUGGACAGUAACUGACGUUGAGGCUCGAAAGCGUGGGGAGCAAACAGGAUUAGAUACCCCUGUAGUC
rnacentral:rRNA from 1 species